UACGGAGGGUGCAAGCGUUGUCCGGAAUUAUUGGGCGUAAAGCGCACGUAGGCGGUUCUUUAAGUCUCAUGGUGAAAGGCUGGGGCUCAACCCCAAGCAAGCCGGGGAUACUGGAGGACUGGAGACAGGCAGAGGCCAGCGGAAUUCCGGGUGUAGCGGUGGAGUGCGUAGAGAUCCGGAAGAACACCGGAGGCGAAGGCGGCUGGCUGGGCCUGAUCUGACGCUGAGGUGCGAAAGCGUGGGGAGCGAACAGG
rnacentral:rRNA from 1 species